UACAGAGGUGGCAAGCGUUGUUCGGAAUUACUGGGCGUAAAGGGCGCGUAGGCGGCCCGGUAAGUCAAAGGUGAAAUCCCUCGGCUCAACUGAGGAACUGCCUUUGAAACUGUCGGGCUUGAGGCCGGGAGGGGGUAGCGGAAUUCCCAGUGUAGCGGUGAAAUGCGUAGAUAUUGGGAGGAACACCAGUGGCGAAGGCGGCUACCUGGACCGGUUCUGACGCUGAUGCGCGAAAGCGUGGGUAGCAAACAGG
rnacentral:rRNA from 1 species